GGUUAAGUUAGAAAGGGCGCACGGUGAAUGCCUUGGCACUAGGAGCCGAUGAAGGACGGGACUAACACCGAUAUGCUUCGGGGAGCUGUAAGUGAGCUUUGAUCCGGAGAUUUCCGAAUGGGGAAACCCACUGUUCGUAAUGGAACAGUAUCUUUAUCUGAAUACAUAGGAUAUUGAAGGCAGACCCGGGGAACUGAAACAUCUAAGUACCCGGAGGAAGAGAAAGCAAAUGCGAUUUCCUGAGUAGCGGCGAGCGAAACGGAAUUAGCCCAAACCAAGAGGCUUGCCUCUUGGGGUUGUAGGACACUCUAUACGGAGUUACAAAGGAACGAAGUAAAUGAAGCGACCUGGAAAGGUCCGUCGAAGAAGGUAACAACCCUGUAGUUGAAACUUCGUUCCCUCUUGAGUGGAUCCUGAGUACGGCGGAACACGUGAAAUUCCGUCGGAAGCUGGGAGGACCAUCUCCCAAGGCUAAAUACUACCUAGUGACCGAUAGUGAACCAGUACCGUGAGGGAAAGGUGAAAAAGCACCCCGGAAGGGGAGUGAAAGAGAUCCUGAAACCGUGUGCCUACAAGUAGUCAGAGCCCGUUAACGGGUGAUGGCGUGCCUUUUGUAGAAUGAACCGGCGAGUUACGAUCCCAUGCAAGGUUAAGCUGAUAAGGCGGAGCCGUAGCGAAAAGCGAGUCUGAAUAGGGCGUUUAGUAUGUGGUUGUAGACCCGAAACCAGGUGAUCUACCCAUGUCCAGGGUGAAGUUCAGGUAACACUGAAUGGAGGCCCGAACCCACGCACGUUGAAAAGUGCGGGGAUGAGGUGUGGGUAGCGGAGAAAUUCCAAUCGAACCUGGAGAUAGCUGGUUCUCUCCGAAAUAGCUUUUAGGGCUAGCCUCAUGUUGUGAGAGUCUUGGAGGUAGAGCACUGAUUGGACUAGGGGGCCCCCAACGGGUUACCGAAUUCAGUCAAACUCCGAAUGCCAAAGACUUAUCCAUGGGAGUCAGACUGCGAGUGAUAAGAUCCGUAGUCAAAAGGGAAACAGCCCAGACCACCAGCUAAGGUCCCCAAGUAUACGUUAAGUGGAAAAGGAUGUGGAGUUGCUUAGACAACCAGGAUGUUGGCUUAGAAGCAGCCACCAUUUAAAGAGUGCGUAAUAGCUCACUGGUCGAGUGACUCUGCGCCGAAAAUGUACCGGGGCUAAACGUAUCACCGAAGCUGUGGAUUGACAUCUUUGAUGUCAGUGGUAGGAGAGCGUUCUAAGUGCUGUGAAGUCAGACCGUAAGGACUGGUGGAGCGCUUAGAAGUGAGAAUGCCGGUAUGAGUAGCGAAAGACAAGUGAGAAUCUUGUCCACCGAAUGCCUAAGGUUUCCUGAGGAAGGCUCGUCCGCUCAGGGUUAGUCGGGACCUAAGCCGAGGCUGAAAAGCGUAGGCGAUGGCCAACAGGUUGAUAUUCCUGUACCACCUCCCCGCCGUUUGAGUAAUGGGGGGACGCAGUAGGAUAGGGUAAGCGCGCUGCUGGAUAUGCGCGUUCAAGCAGUUAGGCUGAUGAGUAGGCAAAUCCGCUCAUCAUAAAGGCUGAGCUGUGAUGACGAGGGAAUUAUAGUACCGAAGUUCCUGAUUCCACACUGCCAAGAAAAGCCUCUAGCGAGGCGGGAGGUGCCCGUACCGCAAACCGACACAGGUAGGCGAGGAGAGAAUCCUAAGGUGAUCGAGAGAACUCUCGUUAAGGAACUCGGCAAAAUGACCCCGUAACUUCGGGAGAAGGGGUGCUCUGGUAGGGUGUAUAGCCCGAGAGAGCCGCAGUGAAUAGGCCCAGGCGACUGUUUAGCAAAAACACAGGUCUCUGCGAAGCCGCAAGGCGAAGUAUAGGGGCUGACGCCUGCCCGGUGCUGGAAGGUUAAGAGGAGGGGUUAUCCUUUGGGAGAAGCUCUGAAUCGAAGCCCCAGUAAACGGCGGCCGUAACUAUAACGGUCCUAAGGUAGCGAAAUUCCUUGUCGGGUAAGUUCCGACCCGCACGAAAGGCGUAACGAUCUGGGCACUGUCUCAACGAGAGACUCGGUGAAAUUAUAGUACCUGUGAAGAUGCAGGUUACCCGCGACAGGACGGAAAGACCCCGUGGAGCUUUACUGUAGCCUGAUAUUGAAUUUUGGUACAGCUUGUACAGGAUAGGUAGGAGCCUGAGAAGCCGGAGCGCUAGCUUCGGUGGAGGCGUCGGUGGGAUACUACCCUGGCUGUAUUGAAAUUCUAACCCGCGGCCCCUGAUCGGGCCGGGAGACAGUGUCAGGUGGGCAGUUUGACUGGGGCGGUCGCCUCCUAAAAUGUAACGGAGGCGCCCAAAGGUUCCCUCAGAAUGGUUGGAAAUCAUUCGUAGAGUGUAAAGGCACAAGGGAGCUUGACUGCGAGACCUACAAGUCGAGCAGGGACGAAAGUCGGGCUUAGUGAUCCGGUGGUUCCGCAUGGAAGGGCCAUCGCUCAACGGAUAAAAGCUACCCCGGGGAUAACAGGCUUAUCUCCCCCAAGAGUCCACAUCGACGGGGAGGUUUGGCACCUCGAUGUCGGCUCAUCGCAUCCUGGGGCUGUAGUCGGUCCCAAGGGUUGGGCUGUUCGCCCAUUAAAGCGGUACGCGAGCUGGGUUCAGAACGUCGUGAGACAGUUCGGUCCCUAUCCGUCGUGGGCGUAGGAAAUUUGAGAGGAGCUGUCCUUAGUACGAGAGGACCGGGAUGGACACACCGCUGGUGUACCAGUUGUCUUGCCAAAGGCAUCGCUGGGUAGCUAUGUGUGGACGGGAUAAGUGCUGAAAGCAUCUAAGCAUGAAGCCCCCCUCAAGAUGAGAUUUCCCAUAGCGCAAGCUAGUAAGAUCCCUGAAAGAUGAUCAGGUUGAUAGGUCAGAGGUGGAAGCGUGGCGACAUGUGUAGCUGACUGAUACUAAUCGAUCGAGGACUUAACCAA
rnacentral:rRNA from 1 species